CCUACGGGAGGCAGCAGUGGGGGAUAUUGCACAAUGGGGGAAACCCUGAUGCAGCGACGCCGCGUGUGGGAAGACGGUCCUCUGGAUUGUAAACCACUGUCCCCAGGGACGAAAAUGACGGUACCUGACUAAGAAGCCCCGGCUAACUACGUGCCAGCAGCCGCGGUAAUACGUAGGGGGCAAGCGUUAUCCGGAUUUACUGGGUGUAAAGGGAGCGUAGACGGCUAAUCAAGUCAGAAGUGAAAACCCAGGGCUCAACUUUGGGACUGCUUUUGAAACUGAGUAGCUAGAGUGCAGGAGAGGUAAGCGGAAUUCCUAGUGUAGCGGUGAAAUGCGUAGAUAUUAGGAGGAACACCAGUGGCGAAGGCGGCUUACUGGACUGUAACUGACGUUGAGGCUCGAAAGCGUGGGGAGCAAACAGGAUUAGAUACCCUUGUAGUC
rnacentral:rRNA from 1 species